GACGAACGCUGGCGGCGUGCCUAAUACAUGCAAGUCGAGCGAAGUUUUUCUGGUGCUUGCACUAGAAAAACUUAGCGGCGAACGGGUGAGUAACACGUAAAGAACCUGCCUCAUAGACUGGGACAACUAUUGGAAACGAUAGCUAAUACCGGAUAACAGUAUUUCUCGCAUGAGAGAUAUUUAAAAGUUGGUUAUGCUAACACUAUGAGAUGGCUUUGCGGUGCAUUAGCUAGUUGGUGGGGUAAAGGCCCACCAAGUCGACGAUGCAUAGCCGACCUGAGAGGGUGAUCGGCCACACUGGGACUGAGACACGGCCCAGACUCCUACGGGAGGCAGCAGUAGGGAAUCUUCCGCAAUGGGCGAAAGCCUGACGGAGCAACGCCGCGUGAGUGAAGAAGGAUUUCGGUUCGUAAAGCUCUGUUGUUAGGGAAGAAUGGAUAUGUAGUAACUAUACAUGUAAGAGACGGUACCUAACCAGAAAGCCACGGCUAACUACGUG
rnacentral:rRNA from 1 species